AUACGGAGGGUGCAAGCGUUAUCCGGAUUUAUUGGGUUUAAAGGGUGCGUAGGCGGUUUGAUAAGUCAGCGGUGAAAUAUUUCAGCUUAACUGGAAGGGUGCCGUUGAUACUGUCGAGCUUGAAUUUAGUUGCUGUGGGUGGAAUGUGUGGUGUAGCGGUGAAAUGCAUAGAUAUCACACAGAAUAUCGAUUGCGAAGGCAGCUCACAAAGCUAAUAUUGACGCUGAUGCACGAAAGUGUGGGGAUCAAACAGGAUUAGAUACCCUGGUAGUCCGCACUGUAAACGAUGAUAACUCGCUGUCGGCGAUACAUAGUCGGUGGCCAAGCGAAAGCGAUAAGUUAUCCACCUGGGGAGUACGACCGCAAGGUUGAAACUCAAAUGAAUUGACGGGG
rnacentral:rRNA from 1 species